AAGAGGUCAUUUAGUCUCCCCAGGAAGCACAGACAUUUAGAAGGUCCCCGUACAACUCAUGCAAGUAUUUUAUUAACAACAAUUUCUAUUCACAUUUAGGGUUUGCCCUCUUCACUGCUCAAAGAUUUUCACAGCUGAGACUCAUUUCAGGGGUCUGUGUCCCUGGCUUCCAGGCAAAGCGAUAUGGAAAAAUGGAUGACCAGAACUGCACCCUGAAAGUAAUCUGCUCAUGGAAACUGUCCUGGAAUAUUGGAUUGGACCAGCUCUGUGAUGGUCAUGAUGAAUGUACAAACAGAUUUCCCACAAGCUCAAUGAGGAAAGACUUGAAGGCUUAGAAAGAAGAGGCCGCCGCUGGAGUCUGCAGUGUCUCCUCCAGUUCAAAUAAAAUGGGGGAAAAAAAAAAAGUUCUAUAUUAGCUUAUAACCUAAAAAGUGUGCCUGUCACCAUUCUGAUGAAUUAAUUUAGCUUUGCAGUUUGGAUUACAGGGAAAGAUUCAAAUACACUUCAUAGACACUAAUAUCUGUAGAUUUAUGAGUGUUGAAUAAUUAAUUACUGCUAUUUCAGUUUCUCCAAGUGGGAAAAAUAAGGCAUAUUAAGCCUUGGGCAUUAUCAGCCACCCAAUAGGUCAGUAUAAAGGCUUGUGAUGGAGUCAAAAUAUCUCAUUAUUUAGUUGAAAGACUCAGUCUCAAACAGUACUAUCUCUGGCAUAUGGAUAUUUCCAAACCUCUCUGAAGAUGAUGGGUUUGUAGUAACAUUUUAUUCAAGCUAAAUUAAAGCGGUAAAAAAGCUCUUUUGUUAACAACAGUAGUUACUGUUUGUGUAACUAAUCUACAUGUCUUAUAGAUCUGUCUUUGGUGGUUUGGCUGGGAACUGAAUUAACACUUAAAAAUUUUGCUAAUGGCAUGGCAGACCUGGAUGUGUCUGCAGAAGUGACAGAAACAACCAGUGGCAGGCAGAAAACACCACAAAGAACACCUUUGAAAUAAAAACACCAAAAAGGGGCAGAAUUACUUCAGAAGGAAUGUGGCUUUGUGAACAAAGACAGUGACUCCUGGAUCAUUGCUGCAGGUCUCUGCAAACAUUGUCCACAAGGAAACAUGAUUGCAUUGAAGAAAUACAGGUCACCAAUCUCUCCUUCCAGAGAAAACAAUCUUGCACAUCAGAAAUACUGGCUGUGAGGCAGGCAAAUAUCACCAGAGGAAUCAAGUUUCCCAGAAGAGAAAAGAUAAGCUGAUAUCUGCAUCAAACUGGAACAAACAAUGGAGGUACUCACAAAGCUCAACAAUGGCCAGAAAAUAAUUAGAACAAGAUCUAAACAAUUGCUGGAGCUCUCUAUAAAGAAUCUGAGUCAAAAUUCUGUAGCUUCCCAGAAAAGGCAGAAAUAUGACCAUGUCUUUGGGGGCAGAAUGAAGUGUGUCUGAGCAGAUUGAAAAACUGCUAGCAUAAAUACAAUUUUGAUCCACGCAUGAAGAAACAACUGCAGAAAACUGCACCAAGAAAAAAUAAUUAAUGUAAAAUUGUAUCCUUUUUUAACUACAGCCAGUAUUACACGUUUAGGGCAGAAGAGUUAAAAAAAAAAAAAACUGUAAGAUGAUUCUUCCUCCUCUGCUCUGCUGCCAUAGAUUCUGGAACUCAGCUGUGGAGGGACUUUUGAGUUGAUGUAACAGUGGGCAACAAGAGAUGAUGGAUCACAAAGCUUCUCAUUACAAUUGGGAGACCUUUUUCCACUGCAAUCUAUUAAUGCACUUCAGUUGACACAUGGGCUCAAGGACCUGGAAAUAAACAACAACAACAACAACAACAACAACAACAACAACAAAAACCAAAAAAAAAAGAAAAACAGCUUUCUAAAUAAAUGAAAGAUGGACUCAGAUUAUCUAAAGGACUUUCACUCAGAGGGUGCUGGUGGCUCUUCCUACUCCAAUGUGAAGAUCUAUUUGUGAACAUCAAAUGGGAUAGGAAGCAUGUGUCAGAUCUGGGUCAGGCUUUUCUGGAGACACACAUACCUCAGCCAACCUCACAUCCCAAAAGACUGGUUGGGGUUUAUGUCUGAACAGAAUCACCCUGAGCAUCCCACUUUAAUCGCUGCAGACAGCAACUCUUUUUACCUGUAAAUUAAUCUGGACCUGUCUGAGGUAAAAGACAGGUAAGGGGUUACAGCUGGGUGGGGAGCACGAGAGAAAACCUUGAGUAACAGGCUGGAUGUCCAAGGAGUCUUGUGCAAUCUCAGUUUACAAAGGCUUGGAUUCCGACUAAGAUACAAAACACUGACACAGGGAUGCUUGCCCAAACUCAAACAUGUCUCUUAAAUCAGGAAAAAGGCCCAGGAUACCUCAGGACAUGGAAGAGGUUGCUGUGGUGCUCCUGCUUUCCAGUCAACAGUCCCUUAGUGGGAGGAGAAAGCAGAGAGGCUGGAAGAUGGUAUCCAUGAGCUGAAUCCAUCUUGAUGCUCCAUCCCUGGAAUGUCUACAGCAAAGGGACUUGAACUUGGCUCACAGCUCAUCUGAGCUAACAGGAAAACAAUGAAACUCAGUUCUGCUCAGUUCUGUUAUUUUUCUUUCCUUUUUUUAAGGGAGAGAGAGAAGGAGAGAAGAGAAGUGAAAAACUGGCAAGUGCAGCAAAUUUAGAGAACAGACCAGAUAAAAGUUAUUGUUACGAAAUUUCUUUGUUUCAUGGCCAAGACCAUUAUAUAUCUCUGGCUGGCCAGACGAAGCAUCAUGUGUCUUCAGCAGAAGCUUCUUUUCUACCCAGAGAGCUGGACAGAGGAAAACAAAAUUUCAGGAAGGAGCUGGCUUGAAAAGACAUCAGAGUUCAAGUCUGCCUGAAGGACACAGUCUACCUAAGGGACUCCUGUUCACUUUUAGGAACGUGAGACACCCUGUCUGUUGUACUGUGCUGGUCUUAAAAUAGAAAAUGCCCCAAACAAGGGGAAAAUACACCAGAACAAGUUCUGUAGUGAAGUGACAACUUUUAAUCCUGUGGGAAAAAGUGUGUCCUAUCUGUAAGACCCAUGGAUCAGGUUUGGAUGGCUAAGGCUCCCAGCAUUAGGAUAUUUUUUUGGAAUUCAGAUAACACCACAGAGCUUUCUAAUGUCUUUGAGAAGAACUUGUAUUUUCAUUGCUGCUCUCUGAUGACCAAGCAAGUGCACUGUCAAUAGGAAAGUGAGGGCAAAGAAACAUGAGUUAGGUUAAACAGGUAUUUGCUAAGAAACCCAACGGGAGGGAAAAAUAUUCUCUUACAGAAACAAAUCAAAGAUUCUAUGGAAGAUUCAGCUCUGCAAAUGUUUUUCAACACACAGUUUUCUGUGGAGUUUUUUUGCUUACAAAGGUUUUUGACUUUACAUACAAAUCAUAGAGAAAAUGUGAUACAGACUUUGGCACUGACUGGUAGAGUAACAAGCUCUCCUUGCGAAAUUUAUUCCCAGAAAAAAAUCAAAUUCUGCUCCCAGUCCUUUCUGUUCAUACGUUAAUGCUGUCCCCUCACUGUAAGCACUAGCAUGUGUACUUCUGUAAAGAAACAGGCAAACACAAAUACACUAAUAUUGGAGAUGGCCCCUGAGCCUUUUAAA